CCUCCCUUGUGGUUUCACACUUUCUCACUUUAGUACCUUAUAGUUUAAAAUGUAUCAAGUUAGCCCCUAUGGUUUCACAUUUUCUCACUUUAGUACCCUGUGGUUUAAAGUGUAUCAAGUUAGUAUCCUGUAAUUUCAUUUUUCUCUUUUUAUUAUCCAUUCCACCAAUUUUUUUUGUUAAAUCAGUGACAAAGUUAAAAUAAAGGGUACUAAAGUGAAUAUUUGAUAAAUUUAGGUAAGGUAUAUGAAGUUUUUUGUAUAUAAUUUAAUAAAAUAUUAACAGAGAAAAAAAAAUCAAUGAUAAAAUUAAAACUAAAGGGUACUAAAGUGAAUAUUCGAUAAACCUAGAUAGAGUAUCUGAAAUUUUUUUGUAUAUAAUUUAACGAAAUAUUAUCAGAGGAGCCGACGAAAAUAGAAAAAUGAAACCACAGGAUAUUAAAUUGAUGCACUUUAAACCACAGGGUACUAAAGUGAGAAAGUGCUAAACCACAUGGCACUAAAUUGAUACACUUUAAACCACACGGUACUAACGUACAAAAGUGCGAAACAACAUAGGUGGUAUUUAAAGUUUUUCCAAAAAAAAUUAUAGAGAAAAAAAAUAUAUAAUACAUUUUUGAAUUUUACGAUGCUCAACUUCUCUUUUCUACUUUUCCUAUUCAAAACCACUAAGCUUUUACUUUUUUUAUUUAAUUUUCUAACUUU
rnacentral:lncRNA from 1 species